AUGUUCAUGUAAUGCUUCUCUUUUUGAUCAUGUUGUUUAUCCAAUCCAGAUUGAUAGAACAUUUGUAGGCUGUGCUAGUGCAUUGCAUCGAUGUGAUGUACUGCCGGAGCAUUACAGAAAGAGGCUGCCUGAGAUAUGUGAACCGUUUCUUCCUGGUAUUCGUGAAAUUGUCAAUGGUGACAUACCCUAUGCAGAAGUUGUGGCAAAGAUUCUGACCCCUGACAGGGUUCAAGAUUGUAAUCCCUUCGAGGGGUUGUCGGAUGAUGUGGUAAAGAAGAUAAAGGAUGUUGCAGCAAACAAUGCAG